GGAAGCUCCGCCUAGGGUUCGCCUCGGGCGAAGCGAGAGAACGUUGCCGCAGGCAACGGCCCGAAGGGCGAGGCGCUUUAGCGCCGAGUAAUCCUUCCCCCACCACCA
rnacentral:sRNA from 1 species